UCUAAGACCAGUCCUUUAGAUAUUGAGUUUUGAACGUGUCAAAUAGAUGGCGUGAAAGAAUGUUGUUUGUUGUGUCACAUAUGGGCUAAUGGCGGUUCGUUGUCAAAAGUUCAAAUACAGCUAUCUUCUUCGAAAAUUACCAAUGAAUUCGUUGGAAAAAAAGUGAAAGGUGCAUAAAGCCAGUACUGUCAACUAUUGUGUUAAUAAUCCUGGACAGAAUAUGUCAUCCAAAUGACAGAGUGGAUUCAUCACUAUUAUUGGCUGAAUCAUUCUAUGGGACUUGCCAGAUCACCAACCAAAGCAUGGACCAAUUUCUCAUUCCAUCUUCUAGAGAACCUUACAUAACCGAUUGGUGGUUUAGUGUGUUUUAGGUUUCUAAUGUAGCAUGAUAGACUUUAUGAGAAGUCAUGUUGUUUGAAGAUAAAGGACUAUACAGUUGACAAGGUUCUUUGCUAACCCGUUGGCUGCUACCCUUGAAUCUCCCUGUUUACUUCCUUACACGGGUCCUCUUGAUUUGAGGGUAAUCCUUCGCUACUGAUCACACCCACUGGUGAAAACCGACGAGACAAUGCUGUAAUCCAAGACUGAUACAUUGUGUAGUUGUUAGAUAAAUGACAAGUGCAUAUCUGGGCUCCCCUCUUUUCUGUGGCCCCGUUUCCCUAACUAACCACUAACCAACGCCCGCCGGUGGUCACUCACCCGCUGUGAAACCAGGAGGAGGGGAGGGCUCUGGUCG